AUUGAACGCUGGCGGCAUGCCUUACACAUGCAAGUCGAACGGCAGCACGGGGCAACCUGGUGGCGAGUGGCGAACGGGUGAGUAAUGCAUCGGAACGUACCUUUCAGUGGGGGAUAACGUAGCGAAAGUUACGCUAAUACCGCAUAUUCUGUGAGCAGGAAAGCAGGGGAUCGCAAGACCUAGCGCUGAUUGAGCGGCCGAUGUCAGAUUAGCGAGUUGGUGAGGUAAAGGCCCACCAAGGCGACGAUCUGGAGCGGGUCUGAGAGGAUGAUCCGCCACACUGGAACUGAGACACGGUCCAGACUCCUACGGGAGGCAGCAGUGGGGAAUUUUGGACGAUGGGGGCAACCCUGAUCCAGCCAUGCCGCGUGAGUGAAGAAGGCCUUCGGGUUGUAAAGCUCUUUCGGCCGGGAAGAAAUCGCACGGGCUAAUACCCUGUGUGGAUGACGGUACCGGAAUAAGAAGCACCGGCUAACUACGUGCCAGCAGCCGCGGUAAUAC
rnacentral:rRNA from 1 species